rnacentral:rRNA from 1 species
ACGGAAGGCAGCAGUCGGGAAUAUUGCGCAAUGGAGGAAACUCUGACGCAGUGACGCCGCGUGCAGGAAGAAGGUUUUCGGAUUGUAAACUGCUUUAGACAGGGAAGAAGAAGUGACAGUACCUGUAGAAUAAGCUCCGGCUAACUACGUGCCAGCAGCCGCGGUAAUACGUAGGGAGCGAGCGUUAUCCGGAUUUAUUGGGUGUAAAGGGUGCGUAGACGGGAAGUUAAGUUAGUUGUGAAAUCCCUCGGCUCAACUGAGGAACUGCAACUAAAACUGAUUUUCUUGAGUACUGGAGAGGAAAGUGGAAUUCCUAGUGUAGCGGUGAAAUGCGUAGAUAUUAGGAGGAACACCAGUGGCGAAGGCGACUUUCUGGACAGAAACUGACGUUGAGGCACGAAAGUGUGGGGAGCAAACAGGAUUAGAUACCCUGGUA